rnacentral:rRNA from 1 species
GUACGUAGGGGGCAGCGUUGUCCGGAAUUACUGGGCGUAAAGGGUGCGUAGGUGGCCUUUUAAGUUGGAUGUGAAAUACCCGGGCUUAACCUGGGGGGUGCAUCUAAUACUGGGAGGCUAGAGUGCAGGAGAGGAAAGCGGAAUUCCUAGUGUAGUGGUGAAAUGCGUAGAUAUUAGGAGGAACACCAGUGGCGAAGGCGGCUUUCUGGACUGUAACUGACACUGAGGCACGAAAGCGUGGGGAGC